GCAUUGGUGGUUCAGUGGAAGAAUGCUCGCCUACCACGCGGGUUCGAUUCCCGGCCGAUGCA
rnacentral:tRNA from 1 species